UACGUAGGGGGCUAGCGUUGUCCGGAAUCAUUGGGCGUAAAGCGCGUGUAGGCGGUUCGGUAAGUCCGCUGUGAAAGUCGGGGGCUCAACCCUGGAAGGCCGGUGGAAACUGUCGGGCUAGAGUCCGGAAGAGGCGAGUGGAAUUCCUGGUGUAGCGGUGGAAUGCGCAGAUAUCAGGAGGAACACCGAUGGCGAAGGCAGCUCGCUGGGACGGUACUGACGCUGAGGCGCGAAAGCUAGGGGAGCAAACGGG
rnacentral:rRNA from 1 species